UAGCAUCUGCCUUACGGGGCUAUGAGCCAUUUCAUUUUUUGCUUGCUUACAGGAGCAUGAAUGCUCACGGGGUUUGAGCCAUUGAUGAUGAUAGUUUUUGUUCAUGGAGAGCAAAAAUGCACAGACUGAAAGAAAGGCUCAUGGGAGCUAGGCCCUUACCACGUGAUAGGCAAGCAGCAGUUUCUAGCCGAGUGCGUGGAGAGUACGAGAGAGAGUAGAAAGAAGUGUAGGUGGCGAGGGUGAAUUGGGACCAGGGAUUCACGAAAACCUAUCGGGAACCAAAGAAUGCCUCAAAAAGGCCCUCAACCAUGAAGGGCCUACUUCCCAAGUGUCAACGUGCAGAUAGGCCUGAGAGAGAAGGCGGGGCAGCAUCAGAGGAGGUUGGCUUGCUAUGGCUAGCUGUCUGAUGUCAUUCUCCUUCCUAGUUCUUUUUUUUUUCUUCCUCCAUGGAUGUCAAACUGCCAGACUGCUUAGUGCAGUAACACAUGUAGAAGUUGCGAACCUGUAGCUGUCCUUCACUGCCACAAAAUGUUGUACGCGAGUAUGACAAUUAAAUCACAGUGGCUUUAUGCAAUUAAGCACAUGUAUGAUGCAUGCAUAGGAUGCUGUCAAUGUUAAUGGGUUUCUGUCGGGCUGAUCUUGUGCAUCAUACCGUAGUAUUUGAUAAAAUGCCGUGGCUGGACGUGAUGCACGUGAGCUGCAGCACACUCUUUGCUUCACAGGCAUUUUCCUUGGACUGUUCGUACUUUGUGCAAGCUUUAUAUAGCAAAUGUGGAUCAACUGAUAAAAAUGAAAGUGCCAGGAGCAAAACAAAGCUCAGUAAAGUUACCUUAUGGAGGGUGGUCUAACUAACUGGACGUGUCUUGGACGUUCUUGUGAAUGGAUGGCGCUGCAGAUAGUGCGUGUCUGCCUUUUUGCAUACUACCUACAUGCCUUUAAAAAUUGUCGAGAAGCCUCUCAACAUUAUUCAGGAGUUUCCAGCAGUCGUUCUAAUGGCACUGGAGUUUUACAGAAGCAUUGUCUAUGUUCUUUAAACUCACGAGAUUUAGAUGUGGGAUUUUCUAAAUGCGCAUUGAAGCUGGGAGCUCGUAGCUGCCAUUUGCAGUCAUUGAGCUUAAGGUAUAAGGGAGUGACAGAAAUGUGGGUACUUUUUUCUUUCCCACAAAUUUUCAAUGCUUCUGCUACAAAGCUGUGAAACCAUGGAAGUGACUGUUUAUUGGCGAUUGGACAAAAGUCUGGUGUUUGCAUUUACACAAAUGGAGCUCUUGAGAAGAUGACUUUAUUUCUAUGAUCUGUUAUGUUUGUUUGGAUUAUGUAAAACUGCUAGAAUGUGACCAUGGCAACCAUGUAGUGUGGGUGUUUAAUAACUGGGGAUGCUAAUUCAGCUUGUUAAUAUAGCUGUGGCGGUGAAAAACUUUAGGGGAAGCAUUUGCUACCCCUCGUGUUCCUUUGGAAGCUCGAGAGUUUCCUCGCCCACCCGCCUUACCCUCUCUCCCCUUUAGAAGAAUCGUACCUAUAUAUACUAUGCCAAGAAGAGUAUAUAUCUCUUUGAAAAAGACAAGUCCACCUGUCGAAAUGAUGGCUCCUGCUCUCGCCUUGUUCUCGCAUUGCUAAUUGUCUUGAAUUUCCAUCUCCCGCAUUCCCCAUGUGUUCCCUGGAUUUGCAAGCUGCAGUGAAUUGCUGAAAGUUGCACGAAUUGGUAGCUAUUCAUUAUGUAACUGCAGGAAGCUCAACAAACGGGACACAAGGCAAAGGUAACACACAAGUGCCAUUACUCGCGCUUGUGGGUUACCUUUGCCUUGUGUCUCAUUUGUUGUGUGCACUGCAGUUUCAUAAUGAACUGCUGUGAUUAAUCACAUCACUAAAAGCUGAUAGUAUGCUGGCAGUUCUAGCAGGGAACAUGCACUCCUUUUCUUUUGAGUGCAAUGGUAUGCAGUGGUGGUGAGUUGAGGAUCACUGAUGAGCAUUUUGUUACCUCCUUUUGCUUGGUUGUGUACAUUUGUUCACUGUCAGGGAAAACAUAUUUGUCACAUGCAACCACACACAACUUCUCUAUUCUAUCACAUAAUGUUUCCACUACUUCAUGGGAAAAAAAAAAUUUGGCCACUACGGUGCAUUGGGAAGAUGCUUUUCAUUUAUAAAAGGUCUCUGUAGGUCUUCAGUCCAAGUUUUGGGCUGCUAUGUCCACCUGGCAAUUGAGGAAGUGUUUUUUUUUUUUCGAGAGCAGAUGACUAUGGGUGUGCCAAAGCUUUGCAUUCCAUGUUCUGUUUUUGCAAUGAUAGGUUUUUGAGGCCCUUCUCUGAAUGUUAUUAGUCAUUUCUAUUUUUCAACAUAGCUGAAAUCAGCAACAGGCUUUGAAUAAUUCCUUCUUCCUCGGGGUUGAUCCUGGGUCUUGGCAAUGACAUCUCAAAAAUGACGGCCUCCUACACUGCGCAAUAUAGGUAAUUUGUUCAAUAAGUACUCAGUGCUGCAUAAGUGGGAGUGCCAAGCAUAAAUUAUUCUUCCGGCCAAACUGCUGGCUCGUUUCAGACACCUCCGCGGUGGUCACUGCUUGCCAUUGUAGAUAUUUUCUGCAAGAUAGUCUGCGAAAGACAUCACUUUUACUGUGAGCAACAGAGCAAUAGCUUUCACUGUUAGUGCUGCACACUGCGGGGAAGGCUACAACUUUAUUUUGCUCCUAGGAGCACUGCCGUUUAAGCUAGUGGUUGGGCAGGGCACUGAGAGAACAAUGAGAACAUGGAGAGUUCCUUGGCUGUUGCUAUUAAGUUAAUGACAAUAGCUGUCGUCAUUGUCUGACCACCUCCUCAGCUUUUUCCCCGCCAUGGUGUUCAGAAGAACAAAACUCUACCCCCUCCACUGUCCCUUAAAUAUGAACUCAUGUUCUUUUGUUAAUGUGCAGUUAGGGGCUACUGAGCGUUGUAUGAAUGGAAGAACCAGCUGUGCAUAUUUCGUCUUGCUAAACUGCUCACCAAUCUCCACUCAAAUUUCUCAUUGCGGUACCAUUUUGCAUGGGGUUUAAUUAAUUUUCAGGCAUCAUUUUCAGUAGCGUGAAUAUGAGGAGCGGCUAAGGGAAAAGAAACUGCUAUGCGACCAGCGGCAUCCUGCCAAAACUACCACUACUCCCAUUACUACUGUUACUAUAAAUUACUAUUGCUACCAUUACUCUAAAGCAAUAAAGCAUUGCCUACCUCCCUCAGCAGUUGUAGUGGUGGUUUUCAACAGCUUCACAUCCGUAUUGCAGGGGCGGGAUGGCGAGUCAAUUAUUCUAGAGGCCGUAGCAGGCGAUAGUGUAGAUUACAAGGGCACAUUGUGAAUAGCCUGCUGCAGUUCCAGUAUAUAAGUUCCAGAGCUGCAGGGAUCACUGAAGUCUGAUUAUAUUUUUUCUUGCUUGCAGACAAGAGCAGAUAUGUCGGCUACUUGGUGUAUUUCUCUUGAGGUUGUAACUGAGCAGUGCCUCUUGUGGAAGCAAAACCAAAGAAGAUACCUCAUCACUGACAAGGCAGUAGCCCUAUCUGGUGGUGGAUUACGAUACCACUUUUCCAAUACUGGGGCCUGUGAGAUUGGGUGGCGUGCUGUUGGGCCACUUCAGACAACCGUGAGGUCACGAUGACAGGAAAUCUCACCUUCAGCAGUUGUUUUACCAAGGGACUAGACGUUGCAUUAGCAUAUAUGGGCGUGAUGCUGCUGGCUUCCAUCAGUGACUGGGCCUUUGGAUGCUAUGUCCUGGAUGCUUUCACCGGUUUAACGCAACCAGGCCUGCUGGGAAGGUGUGACAGACUGGGGCAACCUAGAAGCUUGGCCCAAUGGUUUGAAAAGUGGAUCUGCACGACGCUGAUGCGGAUCCAUAAACCUCUGUUCAGGUGGCUACCGUAGACAGUGGCUGGGUGGACGACACAAAGCUCUUUGGCCACAGCUUCACAGGAAAUAUAUGGUCCCUGAAAUGGCUUUUGAAAUUCGCCUAGACACAGAGAGUAUCUUUCAAGGAAAGCUUUCUCACAAAAAGUUCAUGUCAGUGCUCUAUAAUAAAACAGCUACGAGUGGUUAUAAAUUAGUUUUGUCAUCUGAAUCCUCUGUGUUCCCCACAACCUUUACACCAGGUGGCCAUCGCCAUGUCCUGCCUCCUUCCUGUGGUGGCACAAUUGUUGUCUACUUCUGGUUUAUUUGAACAACAUUUGUUCUCACAUAUCUUUCACAGGCAGUUUUUCUCAUUAAGCCUAAGCUACACGGAGCAUACUUUAAAGACAAACUUCCCACGGCGAAUGGAGACACGGUAGCACAAAGUGCCAUGUUCGCUGGCUUGCACUACAUGAAUUGAAAAGCGACGGAUGCCACUGUGGGCGCUUGUCGCAGUUUCUGGUAUUCUUUUGGUUUGAUAAUAGCCUGAUAACAUGUAAGUACCCAACACAUACGUCUACAAUUCUCUCUAUGUUAUGCUUGCAAGAGUUGCUUGUAUCCGUCAGCGGUAAAAACAAGCACUGCCAUAGCUAGGCUACAGCUGCUGCUAACUUGUGAAUGGGGAUAAAAUGGGUGAUUCAUAAUGUUUCCUUUUCUGUAGAAUUAAACAGAAAAAAAAGGGAGGCAAAAAAAAUACAGUAGAUCAACAGCUGUAAUUGAACCCACACUGUCCGAGUAAAAGACAGAGACAGUACCACUACACUAAAGUCUACCUCCAGAUGGUGGCUCUCUGAUGGAUGUUUUGUCAUGUUGUAAAUCACGUUCGGAUGCCUUCACAGCACUUUUCUUUCAAGAUCUCAGCUUGUUAGGAGAUUGUUCUGCUACCAUUAAAGGCAAAUUAUACACAAGAAUUGGCUCUCUGACAAAUGCAGAACCUACGGUUACAGCUAAAAGCGGCUUUGCUUUCAAAACCCAGGGUGAACGCUGAUUUGACCAAGGAGGUCGGUGUUGACAUCAAUGUGCGGUGCUUGCAUCUUCUACAGCGUGCAGUCGCUGCAGUUUACUUCCUGCACACACCGGCAGUGCAAUAUGAGCCUAGCACAGCGCUGGUAGCAUUCGUGUUCCUGCUGCCAAAGUGGACAUUGCUACACCUAUUUUCAUUGGGAAUCCCCUCCGCUCCCAUCAGCUGCCAUCGCUACAGCUGCCACAGCUGUAGCAGACGAUCGGCAUUCUCAGGCAGAAGUGGGCCACUGGUUUGAAAAAAACGUCCACAUUUAUUGCACUUGUGUAUAUUUAUUUUUAAGGUUACACAAAUAAUUAUGCGUAUGUAUGGUAUUAAAAAUAAGCCUAAUGAAGCGCCAUGGUUCUGGCAUUGCCGAUGACCUUGUUUGGGCUGCCAAUUGAAUCGCUCGCCCGAGUGACGCUGCUCACCCAAGCUGCAUAGCCUGGGAAGGGUCGGCUGAAAACUAGGGGAAGCGACAUUGCUGAUAUGUAUCUGUGCACAUUUUAAAGCUCUAUAAUCAAUUACAUGCUUUAUGCAUAGCAAUUAGAUAUGCCUUGAAAUGAUCAGGCAGACCUACCCUACGAACUCAGUACUUUUUUUACAUGAUUGUCAAAUUCUUUUCAGAGUCUCUUUAAAUGUUUCCUUAACCACCCCUUCAUCAUCAUCAUCAGCCUGGUUACGCCC
rnacentral:lncRNA from 1 species